rnacentral:rRNA from 1 species
CCUACGGGUGGCAGCAGUGAGGAAUAUUGGUCAAUGGACGCAAGUCUGAACCAGCCAUGCCGCGUGCAGGAAGACGGCCCUAUGAGUUGUAAACCUCUUUUGUACGAGGGCAAAGCCAGAUACGCGUAUCCUUCUGUAAGUACCCUACGAAUAAGGAUCGGCUAACUCCGUGCCAGCAGCCGCGGUAAUACGGAGGAUUCAAGCGUUAUCCGGAUUUAUUGGGUUUAAAGGGUGCGUCGGCGGUCGGAUAAGUUCGGGGUGAAAUCCCGGGGCUCCACUUCGGAAUUGCCUCUGAAACUGGUGGGCUGGAGAGGGGUUGCGGUAGGCGGAAUGUGUGGUGUAGCGGUGAAAUGCUUAGAGAUCAUACAGAACACCGAUUGCGAAGGCAGCUUACCAAGCUACAUCUGACGUUGAGGCACGAAAGCGUGGGGAUCGAACAGGAUUAGAUACCCCUGUAGUC